UUGUGGAGGAGGACGCCGAAGGUGGGGCUAAUGACUGGGGUGAAGUCGUAACAAGGUAGCCGUACCGGAAGGUGCGGCUGGAUCACCUCCUAACAGGGAGACAACAAAAUGUUUAAUAUUAUUAUUUUGUCACCUUAGGUCGAUCGGUAUCUCACAUUCUUAUAUUAUUAAGGAUUUUAUUUCCUAAGUUUUUUCUAGGUCACACCCAUUACUUUUCCUGGGCCAUUAGCUCAGGUGGUUAGAGCGCACCCCUGAUAAGGGUGAGGUCCCUGGUUCAAGUCCAGGAUGGCCCAUAUCUCUAUGUUGGGGGUAUAGCUCAGUUGGUAGAGCGCCUGCUUUGCAAGCAGGAUGUCAGCGGUUCGAGUCCGCUUACCUCCACUGAUUACCACCUCUUCCAUAAUUUACAUUAAGGAAAUGUUUUGAGUAGUGAUCAAAUUCUGAACGAAUCUAGCUUCCUAAUGAAAUCAUUAAGAUGCUGGACUCAUUGAAUUAAUUUCAUUGUUUUCAGAGAACCUUGACAACUGCAUAGAUUAUUUUUAAAGACAAUAAGCAUCUUUAUGAUGCAGAUUUAUUAUUUGUGCAAAUGCAUUAAUAACAAUUCUAUUAAGCUGAUGCUUCAAUUAUGAAGUUAUUGGUCAAGCUACAA
rnacentral:misc_RNA from 1 species